rnacentral:lncRNA from 1 species
AUAUAGUUUGUGCAACAGAGUACUCUCAAGGCUGCCUCAUCAAAAAUUACUGUUACUGCAGAUAUGGUGGGAAGAGCAUGCAUUCCAAGAACAAAGGAGGCAGUGAGGAGCUGCUAGUUGCUUGGAUCCAGCUCAGUGGUCAACCUGUGGUCAUUUCUUCUCCGUGAUCUCCUCUAUAACUGGAUCAUCUCUCUUCUAAGAACGAUGUCACCCUUGACACUGGCUUCAUAUCCAUGUUGGCUGUAACCUGGAACACAACUUUUGGGAAACAAGCAAGGAUUAAUGAUAGGACUUAUUUCAAGAAUAAACUGAAUGCAGGGCGACUGGGAAACAGAGGAUGGCAGGCAAAUCACACUUCAGAGAAUUUUUACAGGAAGAUAUGAAAUGGUUGGUGAACAUCAUAAUUGAGGAAAUCAAGAAGACGUAAUUGGACUUGGCUUUCCUGAUAGCUCAGCUGUUAAAUAAUUAACAUAAUCCUGCAAUGCAGAAGACCCUUGUUUGAUUCCUGGGUCAGGAAGAUCCCCUGGAGAUGGGAACUGCUACCUGCUCCAAUGUUCUUGCUUGGAGAAUUCCAUGGACAGAGGAGCCUGGCAGGCUAUAGUCCGUGGAGUCACAAAGAGUUGGACAUUACUGAGCGACUUUCACUUUCACUUUUCAGAGUAGUGAUAAGGUGGGCUAAACUCAGCUCCUAGAAAAAUGCUCUUCAACUUGUUUGCUUUUCACUUUCUUUUGCUCAUCCCUAUUAUUCUGAUCCUAUCCACUUAUUUUCUACCAGACAUCUUCAAAUUUCUGAUUCGCUAGUAGUGCCUUGUCCUGUUGCUAGC